AAUUUGUCAACACACUUGUGGACCUGGUGCCAGUGCCUCAUUUUGGCUUCUUAGUAACAUCUAUACACCAGGGAGUAGGACUCAACCUACCGAACUUUGGAUAUCAUCUGGACCAUGGACAAUGGGAAAAUAAAUAGGCAAGGAGAAAAAUAAGCCCUUCUGAUUCCUUCACAGAGAAAGAGUAACCACUGCAUUGAAGAAACUGUUUCUCUCUUAUUACAUACGAGGGAGAUGCUUAAUUGCAACUAUCUGCACUGCUAAUAUCUAAAUUAGCACUUUUACUUGUGGAUGCUGUGGGUUCAGUCACAGUUUGGAGAUGUUUCCUUCCCCGUUGGGCCUGGGUGACUCUGUCCAAGUUCUAGAUUGAAGCACUGAACUUAUCCUCUUUUAAGGCUUCACCUGUUAUAACUAAACCAGUCAGCUCCUGACAGCUGGAUAAUGGCUCAGCUGAAGAACACACAUGGAGCAGGGUACUGCUGCAUGCAAAUGCCAUGGGAAAAACAGGAGACACAAGCACAGAAGGCAACCAGGAGGUUUUUAAGGACAAGUAAAAGGAGAUGAAAACAAGAAAAUGACUGAAAUGGAAAUCUCAAAGACUGCCAAUCAAGGAACAAUUUGAUUAUUCAUCACAAGCACUCUAGUUUCAAGAGUAAAAAGUCUUAAGUAAGAAGAGAUUAUGAUUACCUUUGUGGAAGCAGUUCAGCUGCCCAAGGAGCUGUGAUAAUGCCAUCAGAGCUGCACAGAAAAGCCUUCCUGACUGGCCCAGCUACUAUGGACAUAUAUCCUGAUGAAGCAAAAAAUGACAUUAGAAGUUUAUUUUUGGGCAGCUUUUUCCCUCAGUCAG
rnacentral:lncRNA from 1 species